GUGCUUAAAUGCUUAAACGUUUAAAUGAAAGUUUUGUUUUGUUUUUGUUUUUUUAUUCCCACAGUGACAUAAGGACUUCCUAAACCUCUGCAAAGUUUUGGGCUUUUUCAAGCAGCCCAGUAGAUCUGUCUGAUCCACUGUGAUGCUCUACUUUAGCUUGAAGCUUUCUUCACCUGAGAUUCACUCACUGCUCCUGAAAAUGGUACUACAUGGAUAGCCUAAAUAUUGCCCAUCUUCAAUAGAACAGUGUAAAAUUAUACAUGCCCACAUGCACACAUGUGCAUAGACACCCAAAGACUAAACAAUUUCAAACCACCUGUUCAUGGUCAUAGCAUCUGUGAUCUACAGUCAUGAGAAAAAGAAAGUACAAGAAGAAAGGACACCAGCCAUGACCUCAGUGAAGCACCUGCUGCUGUUCUUCAAUCUGG
ensembl:lncRNA